rnacentral:rRNA from 1 species
GUACCGUGAGGGAAAGGCGAAAAGAACCCCGGCGAGGGGAGUGAAAAAGAACCUGAAACCGUGUACGUACAAGCAGUGGGAGCCUCUUUAUGGGGUGACUGCGUACCUUUUGUAUAAUGGGUCAGCGACUUAUAUUCUGUAGCAAGGUUAACCGAAUAGGGGAGCCGAAGGGAAACCGAGUCUUAACUGGGCGUUAAGUUGCAGGGUAUAGACCCGAAACCCGGUGAUCUAGCCAUGGGCAGGUUGAAGGUUGGGUAACACUAACUGGAGGACCGAACCGACUAAUGUUGAAAAAUUAGCGGAUGACUUGUGGCUGGGGGUGAAAGGCCAAUCAAACCGGGAGAUAGCUGGUUCUCCCCGAAAGCUAUUUAGGUAGCGCCUCGUGAAUUCAUCUCCGGGGGUAGAGCACUGUUUCGGCAAGGGGGUCAUCCCGACUUACCAACCCGAUGCAAACUGCGAAUACCGGAGAAUGUUAUCACGGGAGACACACGGCGGGUGCUAACGUCCGUCGUGAAGAGGGAAACAACCCAGACCGCCAGCUAAGGUCCCAAAGUCAUGGUUAAGUGGGAAACGAUGUGGGAAGGCCCAGACAGCCAGGAUGUUGGCUUAGAAGCAGCCAUCAUUUAAAGAAAGCGUAAUAGCUCACUGGUCGAGUCGGCCUGCGCGGAAGAUGUAACGGGGCUAAACCAUGCACCGAAGCUGCGGCAGCGACACUAUGUGUUGUUGGGUAGGGGAGCGUUCUGUAAGCCUGUGAAGGUGGCCUGUGAGGGUUGCUGGAGGUAUCAGAAGUGCGAAUGCUGACAUAAGUAACGAUAAAGCGGGUGAAAAGCCCGCUCGCCGGAAGACCAAGGGUUCCUGUCCAACGUUAAUCGGGGCAGGGUGAGUCGACCCCUAAGGCGAGGCCGAAAGGCGUAGUCGAUGGGAAACAGGUUAAUAUUCCUGUACUUGGUGUUACUGCGAAGGGGGGACGGAGAAGGCUAUGUUGGCCGGGCGACGGUUGUCCCGGUUUAAGCGUGUAGGCUGGUUUUCCAGGCAAAUCCGGAAAACCAAGGCUGAGGCGUGAUGACGAGGCACUACGGUGCUGAAGCGACAAAUGCCCUGCUUCCAGGAAAAGCCUCUAAGCAUCAGGUAACAUCAAAUCGUACCCCAAACCGACACAGGUGGUCAGGUAGAGAAUACCAAGGCGCUUGAGAGAACUCGGGUGAAGGAACUAGGCAAAAUGGUGCCGUAACUUCGGGAGAAGGCACGCUGAUAUGUAGGUGAAGCGACUUGCUCGUGGAGCUGAAAUCAGUCGAAGAUACCAGCUGGCUGCAACUGUUUAUUAAAAACACAGCACUGUGCAAACACGAAAGUGGACGUAUACGGUGUGACGCCUGCCCGGUGCCGGAAGGUUAAUUGAUGGGGUUAGCGGUAACGCGAAGCUCUUGAUCGAAGCCCCGGUAAACGGCGGCCGUAACUAUAACGGUCCUAAGGUAGCGAAAUUCCUUGUCGGGUAAGUUCCGACCUGCACGAAUGGCGUAAUGAUGGCCAGGCUGUCUCCACCCGAGACUCAGUGAAAUUGAACUCGCUGUGAAGAUGCAGUGUACCCGCGGCAAGACGGAAAGACCCCGUGAACCUUUACUAUAGCUUGACACUGAACAUUGAGCCUUGAUGUGUAGGAUAGGUGGGAGGCUUUGAAGUGUGGACGCCAGUCUGCAUGGAGCCGACCUUGAAAUACCACCCUUUAAUGUUUGAUGUUCUAACGUUGGCCCGUAAUCCGGGUUGCGGACAGUGUCUGGUGGGUAGUUUGACUGGGGCGGUCUCCUCCUAAAGAGUAACGGAGGAGCACGAAGGUUGGCUAAUCCUGGUCGGACAUCAGGAGGUUAGUGCAAUGGCAUAAGCCAGCUUGACUGCGAGCGUGACGGCGCGAGCAGGUGCGAAAGCAGGUCAUAGUGAUCCGGUGGUUCUGAAUGGAAGGGCCAUCGCUCAACGGAUAAAAGGUACUCCGGGGAUAACAGGCUGAUACCGCCCAAGAGUUCAUAUCGACGGCGGUGUUUGGCACCUCGAUGUCGGCUCAUCACAUCCUGGGGCUGAAGUAGGUCCCAAGGGUAUGGCUGUUCGCCAUUUAAAGUGGUACGCGAGCUGGGUUUAGAACGUCGUGAGACAGUUCGGUCCCUAUCUGCCGUGGGCGCUGGAGAACUGAGGGGGGCUGCUCCUAGUACGAGAGGACCGGAGUGGACGCAUCACUGGUGUUCGGGUUGUCAUGCCAAUGGCACUGCCCGGUAGCUAAAUGCGGAAGAGAUAAGUGCUGAAAGCAUCUAAGCACGAAACUUGCCCCGAGAUGAGUUCUCCCUGAGACUUAGAGUCUCCUGAAGGAACGUUGAAGACGACGACG